GGGACACGUGGUAUCCUGUCUGAAUAUGGGGGGACCAUCCUCCAAGGCUAAAUACUCCUGACUGACCGAUAGUGAACCAGUACCGUGAGGGAAAGGCGAAAAGAACCCCGGCGAGGGGAGUGAAAAAGAACCUGAAACCGUGUACGUACAAGCAGUGGGAGCACCUUCGGGUGUGACUGCGUACCUUUUGUAUAAUGGGUCAGCGACUUAUAUUCUGUAGCAAGGUUAACCGUAUAGGGGAGCCGCAGGGAAACCGAGUCUUAACUGGGCGUUAAGUUGCAGGGUAUAGACCCGAAACCCGGUGAUCUAGCCAUGGGCAGGUUGAAGGUUGGGUAACACUAACUGGAGGACCGAACCGACUAAUGUUGAAAAAUUAGCGGAUGACUUGUGGCUGGGGGUGAAAGGCCAAUCAAACCGGGAGAUAGCUGGUUCUCCCCGAAAGCUAUUUAGGUAGCGCCUCGUGAAUUCAUCUUCGGGGGUAGAGCACUGUUUCGGCUAGGGGGUCAUCCCGACUUACCAACCCGAUGCAAACUACGAAUACCGAAGAAUGUUAUCACGGGAGACACACGGCGGGUGCUAACGUCCGUCGUGAAGAGGGAAACAACCCAGACCGCCAGCUAAGGUCCCAAAGUCAUGGUUAAGUGGGAAACGAUGUGGGAAGGCACAGACAGCCAGGAUGUUGGCUUAGAAGCAGCCAUCAUUUAAAGAAAGCGUAAUAGCUCACUGGUCGAGUCGGCCUGCGCGGAAGAUGUAACGGGGCUAAACCAUGCACCGAAGCUGCGGCAGCGACACUAUGUGUUGUUGGGUAGGGGAGCGUUCUGUAAGCCUGCGAAGGUGACCUGUGAGGGUUGCUGGAGGUAUCAGAAGUGCGAAUGCUGACAUAAGUAACGAUAAAGCGGGUGAAAAGCCCGCUCGCCGGAAGACCAAGGGUUCCUGUCCAACGUUAAUCGGGGCAGGGUGAGUCGACCCCUAAGGCGAGGCCGAAAGGCGUAGUCGAUGGGAAACAGGUUAAUAUUCCUGUACUUGGUGUUACUGCGAAGGGGGGACGGAGAAGGCUAUGUUAGCCGGGCGACGGUUGUCCCGGUUUAAGCAUGUAGGCUGGUUGUCCAGGCAAAUCCGGAUAAUCAAGGCUGAGGUGUGAUGACGAGG
rnacentral:rRNA from 1 species